UACAAUGAUUUUUCACUAAAAAAUUUCGGUCCCUUGUGAAUAUCUCAAAUUCCCCCUCUCAUAAAAAAUUUCCCUCUCUUCUCUCUCGUGAUACCUAGUCAUAGAUAGUCACUCUGAGCCCUCAUCCUUCUCACCUUCAAACUCCUUCUCUUCUCUCUCACGAUACCCCCAGUCACAGUCACUCUUUCAUCCCUCUCACCUUCAGCAUUUGUCUUCUUCAUCGAUGUCUUCUCUGUUCUCCAUCCAUCUCUGCCGUCAUCUUCUUUGUCCUCAAUCUGUAUCACCAUCUCCAAAAUUAGAACCAACAAAACCACACACUUAGUUCAACCAACACACUCAGACGGAAUCCAUGUAUAAGCUGCUUAGAAUCACCGAAAGUAGGUGAUUUCAUCAAUUAAUCAAACGCCCAAAUUUGGAGACUGGGUAAGGCAACCACAAUAACCUUCAACAACUUAUCCGGAGGUCAGUUGAAGUCCAAAUUUUGCAUUCCCUUUGGAGCUCACGCAGCUGCCUUUGGUGGAGUCUCUUAUCUCUGCCUGUACUGAAUCUUGAUAACUACAGGGUAAGGAUUGCAAAUUGGCUUUUGGCUCAAAGGACAAUAUUUUGCAACUGGCAUAAUGUGCCUCAAUAGUUGCUUCAUAAUGUUUCUUUAGGAGAGGGAAAUAUAAAAGUCUCUGUUAAUUAUGCCAUAAAUGGAGCUUCUCCACUACCGAUACCAGUGAAAGGAGCAUUGAAUAUUGUUGAGGAUGCUGUUGGGUCUCAUGUAGCUUGGCCAGAGGAUCUUAUAGUUUUUAUAGAUGAUAUAGUGGUAAACCACCUUACUUUUGAACUUGUUUUAUUUCAUAUUAUCCCUAAUAUAUAUGUGAUAAUUGUAGAAAAAGAAAAACUACAAAGGAAAAAUUAGUGAAGUCAUUGUUUCAGUCUAUCCCGGAAACAGUACCAAAGUCUUGCAAGAUUUUAUACGGCUUUGCACAGAAACUGAUGUCCCAAGGUUAGACUCUCGCUUCAUAUAUUGAUGAGGACAUAUUUGGGGUAGAAAAGAUGAUAUACGUCCUAAAAGAAGAUGUGAUCAGCUUCGUUCAAAUGAACGAAAUAGGACAAGCUAACCGCUUACAUUAGGUAAUAGUCACUUUGUGUUUUAUAAUUUUAUGUUUAUAUUUGGAUAUUAAUCAUGUGUUUCAGUUUACUGACUCUAUGAUAAUGGUUAACAACUAUUUAUAUAAGUUGGUAAAAGACAAAGAAUGGGAACGAAUGAUUGCAUUUAUGGACCCAAGUCAUACCACAAAUGAUCCGAUGUCACCGGAUGAGGCAGGGAGGGUUCAAUACAUUGUGAAAGCUUUGAAACAAGCUAGUAUUGACAGCAUCUUUUUGAUCCCAUACAAUCCUGGUUAAGUAAAGUGGUUUGUUUUUUAGAGUAUAUAUUUAUGACUAUUACUAAUAUAUUUCCAAUUAAUAUGUAGGGGUCAUUGGAUCCUUACAAUCAUUGACGAAGAGAGAGACAAUGUGUAUAUCAUGGAUCCUCUUGGGGUUCGUCACCCUCAUGAUGUGUGGAAACGUAUUGUAAACGCUAUGCGAGAAGUGGGAAAAAGAAGGGAUUUUACACCCAAAUGGAAUUGGACGAGGUUCGAGAUGAAUGGGCAUGUCAUGUGCUAGAGUGGAUUUGAGUUUCAACAUUCUCCUUCUUGUUUUGGUAGUAUUUUGCUUAUAUAUGUAUGGAUGAUGGAUGGAUUUUGGUUUACAGGCAGAACUCAUAAGUUUACAUAUAUAGGAAUGUGUGUUUUGAUGUUGCCAUGGCAAUAUAUAUGAAA